rnacentral:rRNA from 1 species
CACGUAGGGCGCAAGCGUUGUCCGGAAUUAUUGGGCGUAAAGAGCUCGUAGGCGGUCUGUUGCGUCCGCUGUGAAAACCCGGGGCUUAACCCCUGGCUUGCAGUGGAUACGGACAGACUAGAGGUAGGUAGGGGAGAAUGGAAUUCCCGGUGUAGCGGUGAAAUGCGCAGAUAUCGGGAGGAACACCUGUGGCGAAGGCGGCCCCCUGG